rnacentral:rRNA from 1 species
AAUUGGGGCCGGCAAAGGCCCCUUGGAUUGCAGGCGAGCGGCCCGCGUGGAGGGGGAUGAACGGGCCCUUUCGGGGGUUGUAAAACACUCCUUUCAGUAGGGGAAGAAGCGAAAGUGACGGGUACCUGCAGAAGAAGCACCGGCUAACUACGUGCCAGCAGCCGCGGUAAUACGUAGGGUGCGAGCGUUAUCCGGAAUUAUUGGGCGUAAAGAGUUCGUAGGCGGUUUGUCGCGUCUGUCGUGAAAGUCCGGGGCUUAACCCCCGAUCUGCGGUGGGUACGGGCAGACUAGAGUGCAGUAGGGGAGACUGGAAUUCCUGGUGUAGCGGUGGAAUGCGCAGAUAUCAGGAGGAACACCGAUGGCGAAGGCAGGUCUCUGGGCUGUAACUGACGCUGAGGAGCGAAAGCAUGGGGAGCGAACAGGAUUAGAUACCCUGGUAGUCCAUGCCGUAAACUUUGGGCACUAGGUGUGGGGACCAUUCCACGGUUUCCGCGCCGCAGCUAACGCAUUAAGUGCCCCUCCUGGGGAGUACGGCCGCAAGGCUAAAACUCAAAGGAAUUGACGGGGGCCCGCACAAGCGGCGGAGCAUGCGGAUUAAUUAGAUGCAACGCGAAGAACCUUACCAAGGCUUGACAGGUUCUUGAUCGCCGUAGAGAUACGGUUUCCCCUUUGGGGCGGGUUCACAGGUGGUGCAUGGUUGUCGUCAGCUCGUGUCGUGAGAUGUUGGGUUAAGUCCCGCAACGAGCGCAACCCUCGUUCCAUGUUGCCAGCACGUAAUGGUGGGGACUCAUGGGAGACUGCCGGGGUCAACUCGGAGGAAGGUGAGGACGACGUCAAAUCAUCAUGCCCCUUAUGUCUUGGGCUUCACGCAUGCUACAAUGGCCGGUACAAUGGGUUGCGAUACUGUGAGGUGGAGCUAAUCCCAAAAAGCCGGUUUCAGUUCGGAUUGGGGUCUGCAACUUGACCCCAUGAAGUCGGAGUCGCUAGUAAACGCAGAUCAGCAA